UCUUUCUGUCUGUCCAAUCAUUGCAAAAACAACACACACCAAGGGUUUUUCUUUUCAAUCAAACCAUGUUUUCAUCUUAAUUAACUUCAAUUUUAAAUUUAAUUGAAAGGAAUUAAUUAGGGGUAGUGUGAAUCAAUUUCAAUCUGCAACAAUCUUCAACUUUCUAGAUACUUCCAUUUUAAAGCUGCAGUUGGGAAUUCUUGAAGACACGUGCAGUGUGAAAGUGAAAUCGUUCAAGGCAAAAUU
rnacentral:lncRNA from 1 species